rnacentral:rRNA from 1 species
ACGGGGUGCAGCAGGCGCGAAAACUUUGCAAUAAGCGAAAGCUUGACAGGGUCAUCCCGAGUGCCGACCGCUGAGGUUGGCUUUUACCCAGUCUAGAAAGCUGGGGGAAUAAGGAGAGGGCAAGUCUGGUGUCAGCCGCCGCGGUAAUACCAGCUCUCCGAGUGGUGUGGACGUUUAUUGGGCCUAAAGCAUCCGUAGCUGGCUGAACAAGUCCCCUGUUAAACCCACCGAUUUAAUCGUUGGUCUGCGGGGGAUACUGCUCGGCUAGGGGACGAGAGAGGCAGACGGUAUUCCCGGGGUAGGGGUGAAAUCCUAUAAUCCCGAGAAGACCACCAGUGGCGAAGGCUGUCUGCUAGAACGCGCCCGACGGUGAGGGAUGAAAGCUGGGGGAGCGAACCGGAUUAGAUACCCGGGUAGUCCCAGCUGUAAACGAUGCAGACUAGGUGUUUGGACGGCCACGUGCCGUUCUAGUGCCGCAGGGAAGCUGUUAAGUCUGCCGCCUGGGGAGUACGAUCGCAAGAUUGAAACUUAAAGGAAUUGGCGGGGGAGCAC